rnacentral:tRNA from 1 species
CGGAGAGUGGCGCAGAUGGUAGCGCGCGCGGUUCGGGAUCGCGAGGUCGCCGGUUCAAUUCCGGCCUCUCCGA